rnacentral:lncRNA from 1 species
CAUUCCUGAAGGAGCCAAAAGCGACGCAGGUGCAAACGAGCCGAGGGAGCCCCUUAUCCCGGUGACAGAAUGGGACAAGCUGGGAAAGGCUUGGACCACACAAAUCCAAGGCUCACCAGGCAGCAGAGAGCCUGCCUUGGGAACCGGGGGUCAUUAUCCGCCCUAUUCAGCGGGGCCGGGGACCCUGGGGCCGGGGAGGCCGGCCGGGCGCAAGCGCCACCGCCAGUGCGCGCCUGCGGCAGUGGGGACCCCGCUGGGCGCUGCAGCCCGUUGGGCUGUUGGGCGCUGCGUUUGUUCCUGCCGACAGCGGUCCGCGAAAUCCAUCCUGCUCGUGAAAGUCGGUGUCCACGCUAACCCGGGUACUGGAGAACGAGGGUAGC